UACGGAGGGGGCUAGCGUUGUUCGGAAUUACUGGGCGUAAAGCGCGCGUAGGCGGACCUGCAAGUCGGGGGUGAAAGCCCGAGGCUCAACCUCGGAACUGCCUUCGAUACUGCGGGUCUCGAGUCCGGGAGAGGUGAGUGGAAUUCCUAGUGUAGAGGUGAAAUUCGUAGAUAUUAGGAAGAACACCAGUGGCGAAGGUGGCUCACUGGCCCGGUAUUGACGUUGAGGCGGGAAAGCGUGGGGAGCAAACAGG
rnacentral:rRNA from 1 species